UACGUAGGGUCCGAGCGUUGUCCGGAAUUACUGGGCGUAAAGAGCUCGUAGGUGGUUUGUCGCGUUGUUCGUGAAAACUCACAGCUUAACUGUGGGCGUGCGGGCGAUACGGGCAGACUGGAGUACUGCAGGGGAGACUGGAAUUCCUGGUGUAGCGGUGGAAGUGCGCAGAUAUCAGGAGGAACACCGGUGGCGAAGGCGGGUCUCUGGGCAGUAACUGACGCUGGAGGAGCGAAAGCGUGGGAGCGAACAGG
rnacentral:rRNA from 1 species